rnacentral:ncRNA from 1 species
GCCUUGCAGGUGCCCGCCAGGACGCGGGUGAAAAGGGAAUCCGGUGUAAGUCCGGAACGAUGCCGUCACUGUGAGAAGGCCGUAGCUGUCCGAAACCAAUGGGAAACCGUGAAGGGGACCGCUGCCAUGGCCUCGAGUCAGGAGACCUGCCGCAGGGUU